rnacentral:lncRNA from 1 species
UGGGCCAGUUAUUGGUCGGCCAUUCCCUUUGUCUCUGCUCCAUCUUUGUCCCUGCAUUUCUUGACAGGACAAACUUCGGGUCAAAGUUUUGUGGAUGGGUUGGUGCCCAUCUACUGGGUCCUGCCAGGCUGCAUUCUUUUUUUCAAUUAAAAGGUACCAUAAAGGAGCAGACUCAAAUAAAGAAAAUCCACGCUCCGGUAUUCCAGCUGGCACCUGAGGCCGGCCGGCUGGAUGCAGCCCUGAGCAUCUGUGUCCCGUUGCCUUAUAGCCUCCUCCCAGCACAGGGG